UCACCAUUACUUUAGGCCAGAGCAGAAGUGCUCAUAGCAUGGCCCCGUCAGAUUCCAACAAAUCUGCAUAUUCUGCU
rnacentral:ribozyme from 1 species